GCAGAGAACCAGAAAGUAAGCAUAAAGGUGAGAAACAACUGAAUGCUGUUCUUUGGCUUAGUUCAAUUUGUAGAGAUAGUGCUCAUUUUAACUCUGGCUGUCACUCUUUGGGAGCUGACAUUACUAAUACAAUCACGUUGCAUUGUAUUAUUCUGAUGUUGCUUAAAUAAUUUCUAAUCUACAGUUGUUUACAGAUAAUGGAAAUCCUUUCCAGAGCUAAAGAGCUUUUAUUUGAAAUUUAAAAAUACAUACAAAUUCAUAAAAGAUGGUUUCAACCUAGCACAUGUAGCUGGGAUCCUAAUUGAAAAGUAACGUAAAAUCUGUAUAUAUUAUUGAGUUUUGAUAUUCUCCAAUCAAGGAGAAGAGAUAAGAGAGUGGAGGAGUGCAGUGAUGUGGCAAUGUCUGUGACAGCAGCGGGAUAGGUCACAAUGGGGGGGAAUGUGUCAGGAGGCUAUAAAAGAGGCAGUGCUGUGGCCUGGGCCUUUGCUUAUGGCAUGCACCUGCUAGUGGCUGUGGCUUGGGUGGUCUUCAUCACUCAAGUUAGCUUCAGGUUGUCUCUUAUAGCCUAUGACAGAGACUAGAAGUGAUGAUGAACAGAAAUAAUACAGCUGCUCAUUUUAUACUGGAGCUGGUAAGCUUUUCACUUUUAAGAAGGAAGAAGAAAGUUGUCUCAGUAAAUAUUGGAUGAAAGCCAUUAGGGUUUGCUUUAUUGCUAUUACCAACAUUAUGUUAACUGAAGAACUAAAAUAAAUUAUUAAAGCCAUAAUUCA
rnacentral:lncRNA from 1 species